UACGGAGGAUCCAAGCGUUAUCCGGAAUCAUUGGGUUUAAAGGGUCCGUAGGCGGUUUGGUAAGUCAGUGGUGAAAGCCCAUCGCUCAACGGUGGGACGGCCAUUGAUACUGCCAGACUUGAAUUAUUAGGAAGUAACUAGAAUAUGUAGUGUAGCGGUGAAAUGCUUAGAGAUUACAUGGAAUACCAAUUGCGAAGGCAGGUUACUACUAAUGGAUUGACGCUGAUGGACGAAAGCGUGGGUAGCGAACAGG
rnacentral:rRNA from 1 species